rnacentral:rRNA from 1 species
AACGCGAAGAACCUUACCUGGGCUCGAAAUGUAGGGGACUAUAACAGAGAUGUUAUAUCCCGAAAGGGUCCCUAUAUAGGUGCUGCAUGGCUGUCGUCAGCUCGUGCCGUGAGGUGUUUGGUUAAGUCCAGCAACGAGCGCAACCCUUAUCGUUAGUUGCCAGCGCGUAAUGGCGGGAACUCUAACGAGACUGCCUGGGUUAACCAGGAGGAAGGUGAGGAUGACGUCAAGUCCGCAUGGCCUUUAUGUCCAGGGCUACACACGUGCUACAAUGGUCGGUACAGAAGGCAGCGAAACCGUAAGGCGGAGCAAAUCCUGUAAAACCGAUCUCAGUUCAGAUUGUGGUCUGCAACUCGACCACAUGAAGUUGGAAUUGCUAGUAAUGGCGUGUCAGCAACAACGCCGUGAAUACGUUCCCGGGCCUUGUACACACCGCUGUA